CCUACGGGGUGCAGCAGUGAGGAAUAUUGGUCAAUGGACGCAAGUCUGAACCAGCCAUGCCGCGUGCAGGAAGACGGCUCUAUGAGUUGUAAACUGCUUUUGUACGAGGGUAAACGCAGAUACGCGUAUCUGUCUGAAAGUAUCGUACGAAUAAGGAUCGGCUAACUCCGUGCCAGCAGCCGCGGUAAUACGGAGGAUUCAAGCGUUAUCCGGAUUUAUUGGGUUUAAAGGGUGCGUAGGCGGUCGGAUAAGUUAGAGGUGAAAUUCCGAGGCUCAACUUCGGAAUUGCCGCUGAUACUGUUCGGCUAGAGAGUAGUUGCGGUAGGCGGAAUGUAUGGUGUAGCGGUGAAAUGCUUAGAGAUCAUACAGAACACCGAUUGCGAAGGCAGCUUACCAAGCUACUUCUGACGUUGAGGCACGAAAGCGUGGGGAGCAAACAGGAUUAGAUACCCCUGUAGUC
rnacentral:rRNA from 1 species